rnacentral:rRNA from 1 species
GUUGGCGGGGUAAUGGCCCACCAAGACGAUGAUCGGUAUCCGGCCUGAGAGGGCGCACGGACACACUGGAACUGAAACACGGUCCAGACUCCUACGGGAGGCAGCAGUGGGGAAUUUUGCGCAAUGGGGGAAACCCUGACGCAGCAACGCCGCGUGGAGGAUGAAAUAUCUUGGUAUGUAAACUCCUUUCGAUGGGGAAGAUUAUGACGGUACCCAUAGAAGAAGCCCCGGCUAACUUCGUGCCAGCAGCCGCGGUAAUACGAGGGGGGCAAGCGUUGUUCGGAUUUAUUGGGCGUAAAGGGUGCGUAGGCGGUUUGGCAAGUCUGAUGUGAAAUCUAUGGGCUCAACCCAUAGUCUGCAUCAGAAACUGCCGGGCUUGAGUAUGGGAGAGGUGAGUGGAAUUUCCGGUGUAGCGGUGAAAUGCGUAGAUAUCGGAAGGAACACCUGUGGCGAAAGCGGCUCACUGGACCAUAACUGACGCUGAUGCACGAAAGCUAGGGGAGCAAACAGGAUUAGAUACCCUGGUAGUCCUAGCCCUAAACGAUGAUUGCUUGGUGUGGCAGGUACCCAAUCCUGCCGUGCCGAAGCUAACGCGAUAAGCAAUCCGCCUGGGGAGUACGGUCGCAAGGCUGAAACUCAAAGG